rnacentral:rRNA from 1 species
GAUGAACGCUGGCGGCGUGCCUAAUACAUGCAAGUCGAGCGAACGGACGAGAAGCUUGCUUUUCUGAUGUUAGCGGCGGACGGGUGAGUAACACGUGGAUAACCUACCUAUAAGACUGGGAUAACUUCGGGAAACCGGAGCUAAUACCGGAUAAUAUUUUGAACCGCAUGGUUCAAAAGUGAAAGACGGUCUUGCUGUCACUUAUAGAUGGAUCCGCGCUGCAUUAGCUAGUUGGUAAGGUAACGGCUUACCAAGGCAACGAUGCAUAGCCGACCUGAGAGGGUGAUCGGCCACACGGGAACUGAGACACGGUCCAGACUCCUACGGGAGGCAGCAGUAGGGAAUCUUCCGCAAUGGGCGAAAGCCUGACGGAGCAACGCGGCGUGAGUGAUGAAGGUCUUCGGAUCGUAAAACUCUGUUAUUAGGGAAAAACAUAUGUGUAAGUAACUGUGCACAUCUUGACGGUACCUAAUCAGAAAGCCACGGCUAACUACGUG